CGGUUCCGCCGGACGGUCGCGUCGCAGGGUCUCCCUGCGCCGAGGAAAGUCCGGGCUCCUUGGACACGCUGCCAGGUAACGCCUGGGCACGCCGCGAGGCGUGACGGACAGUGCCACAGAGAACAGACCGCCUUCGCGAAAGCGGAGGUAAGGGUGAAAAGGUGGGGUAAGAGCCCACCGCGUCCGUGGCAACACGGGCGGCACGGCAAACCCCUGCGGGAGCAAGGCCGAAUAGGCGGCGAGCAGCAGUCCUCUGCGAUCAAGACGCCGCGGGUUGGCCGCUAGAGUGCACGGGCGACCGUGUGCCGAGAGGAAUGAUCGUCCGGGGUCGCGAGAUCCCGACAGAACCCGGCUUACAGGCGGGACCGACGA
rnacentral:RNase_P_RNA from 1 species